GAUCCGCAUCUUCUCACUCGUGUCGUAAUCAUCAGAGAAUAAGUCGUACUUGUAAGUGGGGGCGAACCUGAGCUCACCUUCGACAUAGCCACGGAAAACCUGCCAGGAAAAUACGGAUUUAAAAUGGGAAUGCAGUCCUGGUAGCAAUGUCCAGGUAAUCAUUGUUCCGGUCCUGGACACCUGACUGACCCGCAGCAAGAUGGGAGCAGAUGAAGCAGAUGGAAGUAGCAUGUAACAGCAGACGGAUGGCUACUCCACCCUUGUUACCAGCGCUCCCGCCAAGACCUGUUUUUACCGUGGACACAGCGACAUCCCUAUGAACGCAGAAGACAUCAUAAGUCCUUUGAUUGAUCUCUAAGGAACUGGAUACAGUAGCUGAUAAAUAACGCAUUAGAAUAAAUCCACGUGAAAAUGUAUCCUCUUUUUCAAUGGGUUUCUUUCGGUCAAAGCAAAUCCUCUUAAUUUGGAAAUUUAAAUGACCGAAUUUUAACUAAGCAUUGACCUUCUUUAUAUUGUGCUUCUUUAAGGAAGUGUGCAGUCUAUUUAAAGGACUUUCUUUGAAAAGGAACUUACCUUACAAAGGAGAGUAUAAAACAAACAUUGGAAACAUAAGGAGUGACGUGAAGUAUUACGUCAACAUGUAUGCGAGUAGUGAUUUUCUUGUAGUGUCACUUAAUCAUAGAUGGUUAUAUAUCUUUAUGGUGUAUCAAAGAAGCGUAGAAUUCUUA